rnacentral:pre_miRNA from 1 species
GUGAGAUGAAAUCAGCGUUUGGACAUGUGAUUUUUACGCUGAUUUCAUCUCAUGA